GUCUUCACUGGUCAGUAGACAACAAGCUGCCCGAGUGUUCUGCUUUUGCUCAGCCACUGCUCAAUGGAAUGGAAAUUACGGAAGAAUAACACCGCAAACAGUCGAAACAACUUCGCCAUGAGCUGAUUCAUUUUCGCGAUGAAAGCAAUGCCAUUCAGGACAAAAAUACUGCCCUACGUCGAUGGAAGUACUUUGCGUUAGGAGAGACACUCGCCAAUAUAUAUCUCAACAUGCUUUGAGAAAAAUCGCGGAAGGACGUAAGAGGACGUACAAAAGGACCAAAGGGUCGCACUCCAGACGAGAACGGGCCCGGACCAAGGAUUCUGUGGACUGAGUCUUCAAAGAGCAUCUGUUGUACAGAGGGUGAAGUUGUCACCUUGCGCAAAGAAAGCAAGCUUGAAGAAGCACUGACGCUCUGCCUCGCUGUAUAUUAUAUUAAGGACCUCGCAUAUCCAAGCGCUUUCGCCUGAACUUUAGGCCUUGUGCAAAGUGCGCUGAGCAAUCUUGAAGAGUUCCCGCGGUGCUGGAUGAGCAGCAAGCUUAUAAACAUUGUAACAAAGAUGAAGAAGUUACAUUACACCUGCUGACAAAAAUGACGCUUGUACAC